CUGACAGAGCAUUGCCACUGUCCUGGUCCUUUAGGAGAGGACUGUAUGCCUUUUGUGGGCCCAGGACAUGAGGUCAGGAUGGGAAACAACAUAAAGGGCAGCUAGCUGCAAGGCUUCAUGGGAGAAGGCACAGCAUGGAGAGACCUGGAUGCAGGGCAGCUGUCUCCAGAGCAAUGACAAUUUAGAAGAGAGUGAUCGACCAGGAAAUGAAUCCAAAGGCAAGAAAACCCAGGCAAAAAGGCAACGGCAUUUCCAGGAAGGACAAAGAUGCAAGAGGAAGGUCAAGCAAUGGAGAGAAAGAGAGAGAGAGAAUUCGGUGCCAAAAUUCUGAUGAGCAGGGUUGACUGCCAAUGGGAAAGAGGAUCCAGGAACCAAGCCUUCAGAGGCAGAGAGACAGGAAAAUCCCUGGAAACUUAAGGGCCAGCUACGCUGGAAUAGACAGAAGCAAAAACCAAGAAAGCAAACAAGGUGGACAGUGAGAAGCAACGUCCGAGGUUGUCCUUUGGCCUCCUCCACAAGCCUGUGUGCACGUGUACACAUACACAGAGAUUUAAACACGUAAAAGAAGAGAGCAUUCUCCAGAGGCUGGCAAGAACUAUCUCAACAGCGAAGAAGAGAUAAGUUUUAAAAGGCUAGGAUCCAACCUCGUUUCGGAACAUUCUAUAUCACACGAGGGAUACGCAGAGGAUGAGGUUCAAUUCAGAAUUAAAGUUCUGUCUUGUCGGGAGAAUAUGCUAAAUAACAACAU